GUAGGUGGCAAGCGUUGUCCGGAAUUAUUGGGCGUAAAGCGCGCGCAGGCGGUUCUUUAAGUCUGAUGUGAAAGCCCACGGCUCAACCGUGGAGGGUCAUUGGAAACUGGAGAACUUGAGUACAGAAGAGGAAGGCGGAAUUCCACGUGUAGCGGUGAAAUGCGUAGAGAUGUGGAGGAACACCAGUGGCGAAGGCGGCUUUCUGGUCUGUAACUGACGCUGAGGCGCGAAAGCGUGAGGAGCAAACAGGAUUAGAUACCCUGGUAGUCCACGCCGUAAACGAUGAGUGCUAAGUGUUAGGGGGGUUUCCGCCCCCCUUAGUGCUGCAGCUAACGCAUUAAGCACUCCGCCUGGGAGUACGGCCGCAAGGCUG
rnacentral:rRNA from 1 species